rnacentral:rRNA from 1 species
GACGAACGCUGGCGGCGUGCUUAACACAUGCAAGUCGAGCGGAAAGGCCCUGCUUUUGUGGGGUGCUCGAGUGGCGAACGGGUGAGUAACACGUGAGUCCCCCGCCCUUGACUUUGGGAUAACUUCAGGAAACUGGGGCUAAUACCGGAUAGGCGCUCCUGCUGCAUGGUGGGGGGUGGAAAGUUUCGGCGGUUGGGGAUGGACUCGCGGCUUAUCAGCUUGUCGGUGGGGGAGUGGCUUACCAAGGCUUUGACGGGUAGCCGGCCUGAGAGGGUGACCGGCCACAUUGGGACUGAGAUACGGCCCAGAGUCCUACGGGAGGCAGCAGUGGGGAAUAUUGCACAAUGGGCGGAAGCCUGAUGCAGCAACGCCGCGUGCGGGAUGACGGCCUUCGGGUUGUAAACCGCUUUCGCCUGUGACGAAGCGUGAGUGAUGGUAAUGGGUAAAGAAGCACCGGCUAACUACGUG